rnacentral:rRNA from 1 species
GACGAACGCUGGCGGCGUGCUUAACACAUGCAAGUCGAACGGAAAGGCCCUGCUUUUGUGGGGUGCUCGAGUGGCGAACGGGUGAGUAACACGUGAGUAACCUGCCCUUGACUUUGGGAUAACUUCAGGAAACUGGGGCUAAUACCGGAUAGGAGCUCCUGCUGCAUGGUGGGGGUUGGAAAGUUUCGGCGGUUGGGGAUGGACUCGCGGCUUAUCAGCUUGUUGGUGGGGUAGUGGCUUACCAAGGCUUUGACGGGUAGCCGGCCUGAGAGGGUGACCGGCCACAUGGGGACUGGGAUACGGCCCAGACUCCUACGGGAGGCAGCAGUGGGGAAUAUUGCACAAUGGGCGGAAGCCUGAUGCAGCAACGCCGCGUGCGGGAUGACGGCCUUCGGGUUGUAAACCGCUUUCGCCUGUGACGAAGCGUGAGUGACGGUAAUGGGUAGAGAAGCACCGGCUAACUACGUG